ACUGCACUGCCUGCUCACAGGUCAAUGCUGCCUCUUGGCACAGAUAGAAACCUCCAGGGAUUCAACUAAAAGGCACGUUGCCCUUUGAACACCUGGAAGGGACUUCACUGAAACAAAACCUCACCAACAGUACCAUUACCUGCUGAUCAUGGUAUGUAUGUUCUUGGGAUGUGUAGAAGCUUCUACUACCUGGACUGAAAGAACAUCAAAAGUAGUCUGGCACCUGCUUAGGGGGAAGUUCCCAGAUUUGGAUUUCCUACCAGCAUUUGAUCGGACAAUGGCCCGGCUUUCAUAGCUGAUUUAGUAUAACAAGUAAGCAAACCUUUAAACAUCAAGUGGAAAUUACAUACAGCAUAUUAUAGGCCCCAGAGUUCUGGGAUGGUGGAAGGAAACAACUGGACACUUAUAGAGACACUCUCCAAUUGGAUCAUAGAGACUGACUGCUCCUGGGUGGGCUUGUUUCCGAUGGCUCUGCUCAGACUCAGGAUGACCCCACAGUCCCAUGGCUAUUCUCUGUAUGAAAUUGUGUAUGGGAGGCCCCCUCCCAUAAUAAAACAGGUGUCAACAAAUUUGCCUCAGGUAAGGGGAGAUGAGAUUUCACAGCCGAUGGAACAACUGGGUAAAGUAAUAAAUCAGGUAACUAAGUUUGUACAAGAAAGGGUGCCGUUCUCCCUUGGGGAACAGAUUCACGAAUUUGUGCCUGGGGAUCAGUUGUGGGUCAAGGGCUGGAAACAUGACUCAUUGGCCCCACGUUGGAAGGGUCCAUAUACUGUUGUUCUAACAAUUCCUACAGCAGUUAAAGUUGCAGGUGUCACUCCCUGGAUCCACCACAUGAGGAUGAAGAGAACAUACCACGCAGGUCCAGAAACUGCUGAGUGGACUGUGAAGAGGGACCCCACUGACCCUCGAGAUACUAAGAUCAUCCUUAAGAAGAAGGAAAAAAAGAUCCCAGAUGAGCUCCUUUAGGAUGAAGCCGCAUAAUCACCUCCUGCUGCUUGGCCUCAUCAACGUGAUUUUGAAUUUAACUUCCGUUUCAACUCAGGACAAUGUUUUCAUCUCAUGGGCACAUUCCUACAUGGACUUCCACAACACCUCCAACUGCUUGGUUCAUUCCAGUGCACCAGCCCUGAGCACUCUGCCUCAUGCAUCGAACGUGGACUGGCAGUCUCUUUCAUAUAUGUUUGGCUGUUGGGAGCUGUCUCAGACUUCCUUCAAGAGUUUUUAAGGACCAUCUCAUCUCAUUUGAGCCAACAAACUGCUUUCCUAGCCUGAAAGCGGAAGCAUGCCUUCUGUUUUAUGGAGUGUUUGGCACAGUGAGCUUUGGAAGUGAAACAUUGUUGAAUACAACGCUUGAUCUUGUCCAUGCUACUGAUGAGGAAAAAGCAGCUCUAGGAAAAAUCCAGGAUUGCUACAAUGAGGCGGGAUUAACUGACAAGUUUUUGGAUCUGCUACUCAUGGCUUCCAUCAACUUGAGUACGGAUUGCAUCAAACAUUCAGUCUCCUCGGUGGUGAAUUCCAUUUUUUGAGCUAUAUUCAGUGUGCUCUCUUUGUUGACAUAGUCUUUGCCAGCGAUGCCUCAUCUACACUUGAUCUUCCUGAACUUUUUCCCUCUCAACUGAAGUUGGAAUCUAGACACCUGUCCCCCCUGAUGUGGUCUUUAUCAGAUUGACUCUAAUAAAGUAACUGCAGCUUUG